GACGAACGCUGGCGGCAUGCCUAACACAUGCAAGUCGAACGGAGAUUAUUUCGGUAAUCUUAGUGGCGAACGGGUGAGUAACGCGUGGGCAACCUGCCCUCUAGAUGGGGACAACAUCACGACAGGGGUGCUAAUACCGAAUGUGACAGCAAUCUCGCAUGAGGAUGCUGUGAAAGAUGGCCUCUAUUUAUAAGCUAUCGCUAGAGGAUGGGCCUGCGUCUGAUUAGCUAGUUGGUGGGGUAACGGCCUACCAAGGCGAUGAUCAGUAGCCGGUCUGAGAGGAUGAGCGGCCACAUUGGGACUGAGACACGGCCCAGACUCCUACGGGAGGCAGCAGUGGGGAAUCUUCCGCAAUGGGCGAAAGCCUGACGGAGCAAUGCCGCGUGAGUGAUGAAGGAAUUCGUUCCGUAAAGCUCUUUUGUUUAUGACGAAUGUGCAGAUUGUGAACAAUGAUCUGUAAUGACGGUAGUAAACGAAUAAGCCACGGCUAACUACGUG
rnacentral:rRNA from 1 species